rnacentral:tRNA from 4 species
UAAUUCAACUACAAGAACCUA